UGGGGAAUUUUGGACAAUGGGCGCAAGCCUGAUCCAGCCAUGCCGCGUGCGGGAAGAAGGCCUUCGGGUUGUAAACCGCUUUUGUCAGGGAAGAAAUUUUCUGAGUUAAUACCUCGGGAGGAUGACGGUACCUGAAGAAUAAGCACCGGCUAACUACGUGCCAGCAGCCGCGGUAAUACGUAGGGUGCAAGCGUUAAUCGGAAUUACUGGGCGUAAAGCGUGCGCAGGCGGUUUUGUAAGACAGAGGUGAAAUCCCCGGGCUCAACCUGGGAACUGCCUUUGUGACUGCAAGGCUUGAGUGCGGCAGAGGGGGAUGGAAUUCCGCGUGUAGCAGUGAAAUGCGUAGAUAUGCGGAGGAACACCGAUGGCGAAGGCAAUCCCCUGGGCCUGCACUGACGCUCAUGCACGAAAGCGUGGGGAGCAAACAGGAUUAGAUACCCUGGUAGUCCACGCCCUAAACGAUGUCAACUGGUUGUUGGGAAGGUUCCUUCUCAGUAACGUAGCUAACGCGUGAAGUUGACCGCCUGGGGAGUACGGCCGCAAGGUUGAAACUUAAAGGAAUUGACGGGGUCAUAGCUGUUUCCU
rnacentral:rRNA from 1 species